rnacentral:lncRNA from 1 species
UCAGCUCAAAGGGCAGCAGUAAGGGUAGUGCUAUCUUGACAUGUUGAUCAGGGUGGUUCUCGGGGAGAAUCACCAUUUUCGUAUAUUUAAUCGGUUGGGCUUGCAGGGUUAGCGUUUCGUCUCUAGGAUCAUCAGGUCAUUCAGUGCAGUUGCCGUUCGGCAUACUAGUCACAGAGAAUGCUUUAUUGGGGGCACUCUAUGUGGAUGACCUAAGUGUCGUGGCAUAACAAGUGUGUGCACUUAUUAUUGACAUUGCCGACAUUGCCGACCAGCUGAACCAGUCUCCAGAAAAACUAAGAAGAUGAGUGAGCUGCCGAUUUAUGUACUUAUUAUUGAUUCUGAGUUCUCCGAAAGUAUCGGCAAAAAUAACAUUGACCGAACUGCAUGUAUCGACUAAGACUUACCCUACGUACAAAUUGGCACCCUCGGCUUGAAUGAUCAUGGGAUCGUCAUGCAGGAAGACGAACUCUUCUUCUUCAUCCUCGUAGAAAGUGAUGGGUUCCCAUUGGAUCUUUGACACCUUGUUCUGUCGUGCAGUCUCAAUACCCAACACUUGGGGGGUAAUGGGCAGCACAAACAUAGCUCUUCAUGGAUCAAUUGGAUGUCCUUAGCAAGGGGAGGGCCGCAGCUGAUUGUACUAAUCAUGUUGAUCUACCAAUUGGGCACUAGAGUGGGUGCGUG